AUGAAGCCCCCUCCAGCUACCCCGCUACUAGCCUUGGUGAUUCCAGAACGUGCGGCUGGCACAACCAGACUGAUCUGCGGUCUCUUUCCCACCAUCUCCAAGGAUUUGCUCUCCAACAUGCAAAGCACCACCGGCUCCCCCGCUUCUGAUGGGAGGGCCAGCUGGGAUGGGAGAAAGCGGGUAGAGGCGCUGGGCCCCAGCUCCCGCCCCCGCCUCUGUCUGGCACUUCGUCUCCCACACUCAACAGUCGGUGGUGACACCAGCCCAGGACCUGUCAGGCCCGCGCCCCAGGCGAGCGCGGCAGCUCCUCCUCCCGCCGCCGGCCCAGCCUGGCACGUCUUGGCGGAGCGGAGCGGACCGGGCAGCGCCAGGACUCGCCAGGGGUCCCGCGUCCGGCAGUGGCGGCCCGGUCUGGACAUGGCAGCUGGUCCCCACCCUCACCUGAAGAGUGUGCUUCCUUCUUUCCUGAGCAGCCGCCCUCCACACAGCUCUCAGGAGCAGCUUUGUUUCCCAGCUACCACCAGACCCCAAGCCGACCACCUUCUCUGCCUGGGUUUGAAGCCUGCGCCGCGAGAGUUGCCCGCUUCCGCGCGCCACGCCUCGCCCCAGCCGGGCCGCCUGCGGUCGCCUCCGCGGUCCAGCGUCUACCUGAUUAUAGGGUUGCAAAAUGAGUUGACCAAAUGUGGGAUCUUGAAGAACAUGAGUGACUAUGAAGAUUUUUGGAAGUUGAUUCGGGAGGAAGCCCAUGGAACAGAAAUCAAAGAAAAACUCCAGAAGAUAAAAGUUAAAAUGUUGGAUCCCAGAUACUGGCCUCUGGCAGCUCCUAGAAGAAGAGAAACCAGGUCAUUGGUCAAUGCUGAUCAGGAUAAGUGGCCCUGCCAGGGAAAAUGGAUUCAGACAUCUUCUCUGGAGCCAGUACCCUGUCCAUCUCAAACACAAGAAGAAUUUCAGCAGCUACUUCCCAGGGACCUUCUUUCCCGACUUACUGAGUGGAGGAAGAGGUGCCAACAGCGAGAGACUGCGGCAAGACUACCCCAAGGACAGGGGCGGGUGAGUGUUUAGGGCUUGACAAUUCGACAGUCCUGGAGCUCUGUCUCUAGACAUCUACUUGCUCUCUCUCUUUUGUUUGUUUUUGUGUGUGUUUGUGGUACUAAAGAUCUAACACAGGGCCUUCACACUGAACUAAAUCUCCAAACCCCCCUGUACUUGCCAGGCAGGCACUGUGCCACUGAGCUAUAUCCCCAGCCCCUCCAACCCUUUCUAAAAUUUUAAAAUUUUAUGUUAAGACAUGAUCUUACUAAGUCACUAAGUUGCUGGGUUUGAACU
rnacentral:lncRNA from 1 species